AGCGUAGCUGAACAUCUUACGGAUGGCCCAGGGCUCCAAAGGCUCGUUUCCUAAGUGAGAGAGAGCCUGGCUGAAGCUGUAUUACCAUUCAUUCUCCAGCCUCCGAAGUCUCAAAGCAUCACUUCCACCAUACUCUAACUGUCAAGACAAACACAAAGGCCCAGAAAGAAGAAUACACUAUCGAUGUUCCUUUUAAACAAGUAUUUGAGUAAAAGCGAUGUUUCCAAUGUGUGUCAGAAAGUGAAUACUUGUAUAUUUCCGCACGGUUAGAGCUGAGCUUUCCGAGCAAAUUUUACUGGGACCCGGUUGAAAGACAGGUCUUGGAAGUGAAAUGAUGACUGACUAGAUGACAUUACAUGUAAAUGGAAUCAUACAAUAUGUGAUCUUUUGUGACUGGCUUCUUUCACUUAGCAUAACGUUUUCAAGGUUUGUUCGUGUUGUAGCAGAAACUGCCAGACUGUCUUCUGAAGUGGCUAUAAUAUUUACACUCCCAUCAGCAGUGUAGAAGGGGUCUCACUAUGUUGUCUGGAGUGCUGUGGUGGAGUGGAGUGGCUAUUCACAGAGCCUGUUCUGCUGGGACACAGAAUCACUUGCUCCAUCUCAUACAUUGAUGAUGAUUAAUUUGUAUGUGUACCUUCCAAAAAAGAUGGUUGUGUUUGAAUGGAGGCCUUCUGGACAGGAAAAUAUGGAGAGUGCGUGCUUUGGAUUCAAGACUGGGAAUGAGGGGACCAGAAACCUAUUCUGUGGCUGUUUCUUGUUAGGACUUUCCUAAGCCUCUGGAAAAGUGCAAAGUACAAUUAACAUUUGAGUCUGUCUGAGUCAUGAAGAAAUGGAGAUUACUGAAAAUAAUUCAUUUUGGUAUCUUCUUACAUCCUGAGAGACUAAUCUUUCCAAGUUCAUCUGAGGCUCCUCUUCUCCAUGACAACCUCAUCCAGGGAUUUCUUCCUGUCCUGGUGUUUUAUGACAUAAUCACAUCCUUCCUGAGAUAAUGAGCACACAAUUGCCUGGAUACCUGAAGGAAUGGAGACAGCGGCAGAAAACACUGCAGAGAGGUGGAAACAUCCGUUAAUAUUUUAAAAUCCCAUUACUGCUACCAACAAUAAUAAUGGAUGCAUAGAAAUAGAUCUGGAUUAGCUGAGCUUGAAACAGUCCAUCUCACACACACACAAAAGAAUUUCAGAUACAGUGAACCCACAUGUUGAAGCUUUCUAGUAUAAUAAAAAUUUCAACUGUUCUGUUGAAUCAUCUGCCUGAUUGGAGGCUACAGAAAAGAUGUCAUCUUAGGAGUGCUUGCUCUGAGUGAGGCUCAUCUUCAAAUCUGAAUGACCACAAGGAGAUUUGAUUAUACAUGUGAACACCUCAGAAGGCACAGCCCACCCAGAAGGCAGACAGGUCAGGCUGCUUUUUCUUCAUUGCUUGGAUUCAAUCCUCCGGGCGGCUCAGGCUCAAACAUAACUUAAGCAUGAUUAAACUUUAGAAGAAGCUGCCAGGAAGACUGUGAAAUCUUCAUGCCCAAGGAUCCCUAAAAUUAGGAGCAACAACCACUUGGCUCAGACGGUUUAUGGAGGCAAAGGUUUGGAUGGGAUUAGAGAUUUCUAAAUGUGAGUUCGUGUCCUCUGCCAGACCACCUUACUUCCACCAUUCCUCAGCAAAUCAAGAAAAACAGGAGAAAAGACAUGCCUUUCCAUAAGUUAAAUCUAUUCUGUUUUAAUUCUAUAUUAUAUCUGCUGUACAACUUCUUUUGUUUGUAACACCAUAUUGUUGCUAGUAACUGGAAAUUAAUUUUCACAUGCCUCAGCUUAGAAAAAUAAAAAGCAGCCCUGCAUCAAUCCCAA
ensembl:lncRNA LINC00635 long intergenic non-protein coding RNA 635